AUUGAACGCUGGCGGCAGGCCUAACACAUGCAAGUCGAACGAGUGGCGGACGGGGGAGUAAUGAUUGGGAAUCUAGCUUAUGGCGGGGGAUAACUACGGGAAACUGGAGCUAAUACCGCGUACCAUAGGCUGCGCACAAGGGGGAUUAGGUAGUUGGUGAGGUAAAGGCUCACCAAGCCGACGAUCUCUAGCUGGUCUGAGAGGAUGACCAGCCACACUGUGACUGAGAGACGGCCCAGACUCCUACGUGAGGAAGCAGUGGGGAAUAGUGCGCAAUGGGGGCAACCUGACGCAGCCAUGCCGCGUGAAUGAAGAAGGCCUUCGGGUUGUAAAGUUCUUUCGGUAGCGAGGCGUUGACUACAGAGGAAGCACCGGCUAACUCCGUACCAGCAGCCGCGGUAAUAC
rnacentral:rRNA from 1 species